rnacentral:lncRNA from 1 species
CUGGUGUUGUCUUUAUUAGCCACUCUCUCUUUCCUUUCUUCCAAGUCAUACCUCACAGACCACCCCUCCAAGAAGUUUCCCCGCCCUCUCUCACCACUCCCCUUAUCACAGCACCAACACAUGGCUCUUUGUUAGUAUAGUCAGUAGUGUUUGGUGCGCAGCAGACUCUGGGACCCAAUAGCUUCAUUUCAAAGUCUAGAAAGAGUCACUCUUCUCUAAUUGUGAAAAGUCCUUUAGUCUCUUUCUGCCUCACUUCCUGCAUCUGUCAAAUGAGGAUGGUGGUCACGGGGGUAACAAUGCCUGGCUCAGAGGAGUGCUGUGAGGACUCCGGAAUUCACCCAGGUCUCAUCACCUCCCUGGCUCUGCCCUUCUCCCAUCUCAGCGGCAGUGUUUGCUGAGUCUGCAGCUGACCGGUCUCUGUAGGCAGAGACUACUGUGUACCCCUCUGCCUGGACUUGCCUGGUCCAGCCUCUGAGCCAGGCUCUUCUGCUCCUGUGACCCAACUCUGACAAAUUCCAGAGAAUGAACAUUUCAUAUCUGUCUACCCGAAGAGCGAGAAAACAGGGGAAGUAGAAGGACAAGGAACAUUCAGUGUGAGACCUCCACCAGAACCCAGACUGCAGAGGCUGCUGCUACAGUCCUCAGAGCUUGUUCGCAUUCCUGGGAACCCCAGUGCAUCAUCCACUCUCCCCAAGCACAGAUAGGGGAUUGUCAACAGGCCGGCUGAGCUGAAAAGCCUCAUGCCCACUGGUGUGAGUGCCAGAUGGGCAGUGCUGUGGAGAGACUGACCAGCCCAG